rnacentral:lncRNA from 1 species
UGAUUCUGAGGCCUCCCAGCCACGUCGAACUGGCCUAAAAUAGCAACCUGAAAUAUACUGGAUACACAAAAAAACUGUGUUUUAUGGAAUCUAAGAAGCCAUCGGUUACAGAAGAAGGAGAUGCCAGUGACAAGCAAAGUAACUCCCCCACGGCAUGGGAAGAGCCAGCAUCUGCUGCUGUCCAGGAAUACAGUCUCACUGCUGCAGUCAAGGAAGGCCAAAGAAGCCACCGGGGAAAACCAACCCAUCCCGGGGACACUGGAGGCUCACUCCUUCCUCGCUGCAUUCUGAGGCUGCUGCUUUGGAGUGAGAGAUUAUCCUCUGCUUCUCCUGAAAGAGAAGGUGAUAUGCCCAGGACCCUUCCUGAGUAAGAUGUGUUCCUCAGAGGUUAAAAAAGAAAAAAAAGCCCCAAACCCCUGAAACCAAGAAAUCAAGACAGCUCUGGUGGAGAAGCUUUUGGGAACUUGCUGGGGCAGGCUCCAAUCAGCUUAAAGUCCUUGCAAAGAAAGAAAUUGUGCCCUGUCUCUCAGCGUCGACCAUAGCAGAGAGCCUGGGACAUGAAUGGGUGUCAUUAUUUAUCUGCUGAACAAAUAGAAAAACAUUGUCACUGGAAAGACUGAAACUAACAUGAGUGGAAAAGAAUUGAAGCUCAAGAAGCAAAUUAUCUGGAUUUUACAGAGGAAGGAGGACAUUGAAGAUUAGAGGUUGCAUAGCCUGACCAUGUUUACAUCUACUGCAGAUGAAGAGAUUGCUUCGCUUCAAACCUCCUGACUGCCAUGGAACCAUCUGGCACAUACACGUGUGUGGGUGGCGUCAGAAGUGGGAUCUGAAGUAGAGCUUCUAAUGACCUCUAGGAGUGCUGAGUGACCAAGUGAGGUACCUGCAGGACCCUUUUGUGUUCAGUGAUCUCUUGGAGCAGCUGGGGAUCAUGCUUGACCUCCACGGCUAUAGUGUGGUGAACAGGCUCAGUAGGGCUGCUCAGAGAAAGGGAAUCCAGAAGCCUGGCAUGCUGGCAAAAGGCUGUGCCCACUUAUUAGGCUGUGGAAACUGCAUGAUUUCCUGAUUCUGUUCCUCCAAGGGCACCACCCUAAAGCCAGUAAUCCAAUUAAGAAACUGGUAAACUAAAAAUCUUACAACUACUGGAUCUUCUGUCUGUCUGUGUAUUUAUAUGUAUGUGCUGUGUGUGUGAUGUUUAUAUGUAAAAAAGCUCUGAUUAGUUGGCUUAAAAAUAAUAGGUGUUUAAAUCAUAUAUUGUCAGAAAAGUAAAAAGUGUAAUGCCUUUUAGUUCAUGUGACUUUAGUAAU